UACGUAGGUGGCAAGCGUUGUUCGGAAUUACUGGGCGUAAAGCGCGCGUAGGCGGCUCUUCAAGUCAGGCGUGAAAGCCCCGAGCUUAACUCGGGAACUGCGCUUGAUACUGUCGAGCUAGAGUGUGGAAGGGGCGAUUGGAAUUCCGUGUGUAGCGGUGAAAUGCGUAGAUAUACGGAGGAACACCAGGGGCGAAGGCGGAUCGCUGGGCCAACACUGACGCUGAUGUGCGAAAGCGUGGGGGGCAAACAGG
rnacentral:rRNA from 1 species